rnacentral:sRNA from 1 species
AGAUUACGGGGGGUUAAUCCGAAAUACUGUACAGAUAAGACUAAUUACAAGAGAGAUUAAUGAGACUUUUUUAAACAACAAUCACAACAAUCACAACUAACACAACAAAUCUACUUAGAAAAAACUUUUUUUCCUGAAUA